UACGUAGGGUCCGAGCGUUGUCCGGAAUUAUUGGGCGUAAAGGGCUCGUAGGCGGUCUGUCGCGUCUGCUGUGAAAACUCGGGGCUUAACCCCGGGCCUGCAGUGGGUACGGGCAGACUAGAGUGCGGUAGGGGAGACUGGAAUUCCUGGUGUAGCGGUGAAAUGCGCAGAUAUCAGGAGGAACACCGGUGGCGAAGGCGGGUCUCUGGGCCGUAACUGACGCUGAGGAGCGAAAGCGUGGGGAGCGAACAGG
rnacentral:rRNA from 1 species